ensembl:lncRNA
GCACAGAAUAGGGGCGGGUGGGAGGGACAGGGACAGGUGCUGGGCCGGGAAACAGGGCAUCACAUCCUAGAUCCAGCUUGGUCUGAGCUGGGGUAGGCCUCCCAUCUUCCCAUUCCUGCACCACACAGGCAGCCUUUGGUGCUUAUUUUGCCAGACAGAAAAGUAUAUUGUUAAGGGGGGGAGUGGGGAUGUGUCACCCUUUUCUUCCCUUGGUGUCUGCAAGGUUGGGGUAUCCCAAAAUACGGACGACGCUGAGCCACGCCAUCACUUUGUGCUUCCUGGGGUUCCACCAGCUGUGCGGGGACAGCGGGGACCAGGGCGGGCGCGAAGGGCUCCCCUGGGGGAUGUGCUCACCCCCCGGGAGAGGGCCCUGCUCCGCACAGCCGACCCCACUUCCAGGAGGCUGACAGUGGAGGUACAGUGAAUCCUGAAUCCCAGGGUGGGCAUCAGCAGCCCUACGGCUCCCCAGAGAUGGUGGUCCAGCCCCUCCUACCCGGUGAACCCCGUGUGCAGCAGGGAGAGCCCCCCCGGCAGUCGCUCCCACUGCAGGGGCACCGGCAGCCGCCGCAGGAGCUGCGGGAAGCCCACGAACGCUACGUGGCCGAGAUCCGGGCCAGGACCCAGCAGCUGGAGCAGCAGAGGGAGGGUAGGCACUGGCAGCAGUUUUGGGGCAAUGGGUAGGCACGUGUGGGAUGCAGUAACCCCCCGAGAGUGGGGCUGCGGGGGCCGUGCUGAGCCCCCGGCCCCUCACCGUCCCGCAGGGCUCUGCCGGCGGCUGGCGGCACUCGGGGCUGGGGCAGCUCUGGGCCCCCAGCCCGAGCACGGGGAGCCGCAGCAGAGCCGGGCCCCCCGGGACCAGGCCGGACAGGUCCGAACAGCACAGCAGAGGUGAGCGCUGGCCGGGAGGGGGUCACAGCGCAGAGCCCUGGCCCUGUGGGGUGCUCUCCAUUAAAGGGCCCGUUGGCCCCCUCACCCCCCAUUUGCCCGUCUCCUCCCCAGGGCCACCCUCCGCCUCGACACCCUCCUGCCGCCCGCAGGGCCGCUCGCGGCCGAGGCCAGGUGAGGCUCCGUGGCGAUGGCGGCUCUGAGCCCUGGCGCCCGGCCGAGGCCUGGCGAUGGCUGACCCAGGGCUCCGGUAGGGCGCUGCGACUGUCCUACCUGCGCUCCGGGGGACACGACCCGGCCGUCCUGGACCAGCUCCUCCAUCUCCAGCUGGAGGCCACGGUGCUGGAGAAAAGAACCGCAGGGCUGGGCAGGGGCAGGCGGUUGGAGCCCCCCGGCACUGGCACACACGCUCUGGAUGCGGCCCUGCUAGCCGUGGAGCUGGAGAACCGGCGUCUGGAAGAUGAACUGUUGGCACUGAAAGUCAGGAGGGAGAGGAGAGCAGACGCUGGCUCGCGGGCAGCCCAGCGGCACACGGAGGAACUGGCCCAGCUCCAGGCAGAGGUGGGAAUGCUGCGAUGCCACGCAGAGCAGACGAGGCCAUGGCUGCACCCCCCCAUCCUCCCACCCCCCAUAGCCCCUCCACUGCCGCCAGCCCUGGCUGUGCCAGAACUUUUUAUGGAGCCCCCUGGGCCUGCGCUGGGGCCUGGCAGCCCCACAGCCCAUGUGUCCCCUGGACUCCCCCUCACCCCCUUUAUGGCCCUGGAGGACCCUCCUCCUGCUCAGGAGCCCCCAGAACAAGACAGGGCUCCCCAAAGGUGAGCCAGGAAUGGGCCAUGGCCCCACUGGACUGCCCUGGCACCCCCUCACCACCCUGGAGUGGCAAAUUGGGGCUUUAGUAACUGUUAGGGUGAUGAAGGGAUGGCAAAACCUGUGUUCAAAGCUGCAGAGAUGGGUUUUGGGACCAGGAUCCUACAGUGGUGGGGUGGGGGGAAAGUGUAUGGGAACACUGCUGGGCCCAAAGAGGCUCUGGGCAUUUCAGCAGGAAAAGGACAGGCAGCAUCAGGCAAACGCCCAAGCCGGCAGCCACAUGAGUUACACAGCUCAGCCUCCACCUCAGGGCUGAGCCCACAGCCAGAUGAGGGUUUCACUCUGCUCACAAUGGUGGUUUAGGGACAGGAAGAGGGCACAGAGGGGCACAAAUUCCUUUGCCUCAGGUACAGCCCCAGAUGCAGCCCUCUGUAGGGAAAGCCUAAUCCAGGGCAUGCACAGCUCAGCCCUGGGAACCAGCAAAAGCCACAGCCAGCCUUCCAAAGCAUCACAGGCCGUGGGUUAUGUUUAAUAAAUGGCUUCAGCUCAUUGCUCUUCACUUCUUGGCCUUUUUUUAUACACACACACACACACACACAGAGCCCAGGGCAGGCUCCCAGCCCCACCUGGGACUCAAGCUGUCUGAGGGGACAGCCCUGCCCCUGCCUCAAACCAUCAGCACCUGCUCCUGGCACCCCCUCCUGGGUGCAAAGGGGAGGUUGAACAGAGCUAAAAAUACACAGCAACAAGGCCCAGGACGUUACAAAGCUCUUUAUCAGCCUUCCCCACUAUCUUUAGGCUGCUCAAAGCUGAGGGAGGCACCACUAGAACCCACUUAAGGCUCAGCCUUGAAUGAACAAAACAGCCCCAGCUGUGAUAAGGCUCCAGAAGGAGAAAAGGUCAGAUCCCUGGACAAGACUACAGUGAAUUCCAUGCAAUGCUCUUCUUCCCUGCAGCAGCCAGCCCUGCCUGGCCCAUCCAAGCCUCUGCUCCUGCCUCAGAAGGUAGAUGUGGGUGGAAAUGCUGAAGCUAAAGGGAGCACAAGCCCAGCAGUGGGCCAGGGCUGAGACCUGCAGCCCAGGGGGAGAGCCAGGAGCAGAGGCUGGAACCUGUCACAGGAGGAAGGUCAAGAGGGACCAUUUGCUUACAAUCUUUAUUGAAGUCAUACAAAAGUUGCCAAAAAGUGAAAAAAUACACUAUAUACAAAACCAUUUUCCUUGUAAGGAGAGGAG